rnacentral:rRNA from 1 species
AUAUAUAUUAAUUUUAUUCAUUAUUUAAUAUAAUAUAUUAAUAUAAAGUCCUUUCGUACAAAAAUAUAAAAUUUAUAAAAAGAUAGAAUCCGAUCUGGCUCACGCCGAUCUAAACUCAAAUCAUGUAAGAUUUUAAUAGUCGAACAGACUAAAAUAAUUUUUAUUUCUUCAUAAAAUUUAUAUCUUAAUUCAACAUCGAGGUCGCAAUCAUCUUUUUCAAUAAGAACUCUCUAAAGAUAUAACGCUGUUAUCCCUAAGGUAAUUUAAUUUAAAUUCAAUAAUAUUGGAUAUUUAAUUCAUUUAUUAAUGUUUAAUAAAUUUAAAAAUUAAUUAAAUUUUAAGAUUACCCCAAUCAAAUAAUUUAAAUUUAUAAUAUUAAUAUUUAUAAUCUUAUAAAUUAUAUUUAUAAAAUUCUAUAGGGUCUUCUCGUCUUUUUUAAAUAUUUAAGCCUUUUUACUUAAUUAUUAAAUUUAAUUUAAUUUAAAUUUAAAAAGAUUUUAUUUCAUAAUAUCAUUCAUUCCAGACUUCAUUAAAAAGCCAAAUGAUUAUGCUACCUUUGUACAGUCAAAAUACUGCAGCUAUUUAAAUUAUCAUUGAGCAGAUUUGAUUUAAAAUUAUAAUCUAUAAACAAUGUUUUUAAUAAACAGUUGAAUAAAAUUUUUGCCGAAUUCUUUAAUUUAAUUUUAAAAUAUUUUAAUUAUUUAUAUAACAUAUAUAUAUAUAUAUAUAUAUAUAUAUUAAUUAAUUUACUAAUUACAUCAUUAUUUUAAUAAUUUAUUUUAUUUAAUUAUUUAAUUUUAUAAAUUUUUAAAUAUUUAAUUAAAUUAAAUUUAUUAAUUUAUUAAUUAUAACAAAUUAUUUAAUAAUAAAAAUUUUAAAUUUUAUAUAAAUAAUAUGAAAUAGCUUAUAUUAAUAUUAUUAUUAAAUUUAUUUCUAAUAAUAUUUAAUAAAAUAUUAAUAAUAUUUUUUAAUAAAUAUUAUUAAUUAAUUUUAUUAUAAAUUAAAUUUAUUUAUAAAAUAACUAGAUAUUAAAAUUUGAAAAGAAUUUUUCUUCUAUAAUAAUAUUUAUUAUAUUAAUGGAAUAAUAAUAAUAAUAUUAAUAUAAAUCAUUUUAUUUCGAGAAAUAAAUAAUAUAUUUAUUAUUUUAAUGUACCCUGAUACAAAAGGUAUAAAUUAAUUAAAUUUAAUUUUUAUUUUAAAAAAAAUUUCUUUAACAAUACUAUUAUUAAAAAUUUUAAAUAUAAUUUAAUUUAAUUACUAAAUAAAUAAUAUUUUAUUAAAUAAUUUUAUUAAUUAAUUUUAAUCAAUAUAAUUUUAUUUUAUUUAUUUAA